AGUGAACGCUGGCGGUAGGCCUAACACAUGCAAGUCGAACGGCAGCACAGUAAGAGCUUGCUCUUACGGGUGGCGAGUGGCGGGCGGGUGAGGAAUACAUCGGAAUCUACUUUUUCGUGGGGGAUAACGUAGGGAAACUUACUCUAAUACCGCAUACGACCUACGGGUGAAAGCAGGGGAUCUUCGGACCUUGCGCGAUUGAAUGAGCCGAUGUCGGGUUAGCUAGUUGGCGGGCUAAAGGCCCACCAAGGCGACGAUCCGUAGCCGGUCUGAGAGGCUGGUCGCCCACACUGGAACUUGGCCACCGACCAGACUCCUACGGGAGGCAGCAGUGGGGAAUAUUAGACAGUGGGCGCAAGCCUGAUCCAACCAUACCGCGUGGGUUAAGAAGGCCUUCGGGUUGUAAAGCCCUUUUGUUGGGAAAGAAAAGCAGCAGGUUAAGACCCCGCUGUUCUGACGGUACCCAAAGAAUAAGCACCGGCUAACUUCGUG
rnacentral:rRNA from 1 species